rnacentral:rRNA from 1 species
GAUGAACGCUAGCUACAGGCUUAACACAUGCAAGUCGAGGGACCGGCGCACGGGUGAGUCACACGUAUCCAACCUGUCCUUUACUCGGGGAUAGCCUUUCGAAAGAAAGAUUAAUACCCGAUAUAAAGGAUGGGGAUGCGUUCCAUUAGGUUGUUGGUGAGGUAACGGCCCACCAAGCCUUCGAUGGGUAGGGGUUCGGAGAGGAAGGUCCCCCACAUUGGAACUGGGACACGGUCCAAACUCCGACGGGAGGCAGCAGUGAUGAAUAUUGGGCAAUGGGCGUUAGCCUGAACCAGCCAAGUAUCGUGAAGGAUGAAGGCUUAUUGGUCGUAAACUUCUUUUAUAGAAGAAUAUGUAUUAUAUGAAUAAGGAUCGGCUAACUCCGUGCCAGCAGCCGCGGUAAUAC